UUAGCGCUUUGUUCUUUCAGCGUCUGUGUGUGGUGAUUUAGAUUCUAGAAUCGAGAGAUCUAGUGAUUAUUGACAAUGCAGUCUGCCAAGCUGAAACUGAUCACACCAAUCAGUAGGUGACAAGUUUCAGAGUGCAACAGAAUAGCCAUCUAAGCCACAUAGCUUCUAAGCGCUAAAUAUAUAUAUAUGGAAAUGGCACCGAGAAUAUUUGAUAGCAUGUUGCCUGUUCAUCCUUUGAGUGAAAUUUCUUUGGAAAAAAAUAUUACAUCCAAGACAAAAUCUGUAACAACACAGCAGAUUCAGGACCACACUGAGAGGUGACCAUUCAGAAAGGUCGUUAGAUGAGAUUUUAUACAUUUUAUUUGGAGGUCCAGGCUUAACUAGAGGCUAGACUUUCAAGAAUGUGCUGUUGUUUUGGGUUUCAAGCAUCAAAUAAAUCUGGUGCAUGUGACCAAGAGAAGUGUCAGAAAGAAAAAAAAAAGGUACAGAUUACAGAUUUUAGAGGCUUUUGAUAAAAAUUUUUUUAUUUCAUUCCCCAAUCGUAAACAAACACUAGCCUGGAGCUUCCUAAUCUCUUCUAUACAGCUAUAGACCUAAUUCAAAUCAAUUGAUAUCAUGUGACAGUAUUUUUAUUUUUGUGUUUAUCAAGUAUUAUCACAUGACUUUUUAGCGAAUGAGGUCCAUUCUUGGCUCUGAUGUUGCUCACCUCACAUAUUUGACAAAUAAUCUCUUCUCAAAGUAAACUUUACUGUCUGUGCUCACUGCCUUCCCUAACUCAGUGAAAUUUUUGCAAUAGAGGCAGAUGAAUUAUAUUUAAUUUGCAAAAAUUUUACGGAUCUUUCUU